GACUCGCUAGCUCAGUCGGUAGAGCACAUCCCUUUUAAGGAUGGGGCCCUGGGUUCGAAUCCCAGGCAAAUCA
rnacentral:tRNA from 1 species